rnacentral:misc_RNA from 1 species
UUUCCGUAGGUGAACCUGCGGAAGGAUCAUUAUCGAAAUACUUAUUUAGCGUUCCGUGCUAUCCCAUUGUUUUAUUUACCCUGUUGCUUCCACUGGAUGAGUUUCCAUACCUUGUGUUUGAGAAACUUUGGCUUGUGUAAGAUUCAUUCACGGCCAGCCAGUGAGAAGACCAUUUACAAAACCCUGUUAAGAACCAAUUGUCUGAAUAUUUUACUCCAAUGAAAUAAAACUUUCAACAACGGAUCUCUAGGCUCUUGCAUCGAUAAAGAACGCAGC